GCUAACUACGUGCCAGCAGCCGCGGUAACACGUAGGGGGCAAGCGUUGUCCGGAAUCACUGGGCGUAAAGCGCGCGUAGGCGGUUUUGCAAGUCAGAGGUGAAAACCGGCAGCUCAACUGCAGGCUGGCCUCUGAAACUGCAAGGCUUGAGGACAGGAGAGGGGAGUGGAAUUCCCAGUGUAGCGGUGAAAUGCGUAGAUAUUGGGAGGAACACCAGUGGCGAAGGCGGCUCCCUGGCCUGUAACUGACGCUGAGGCGCGAAAGCGUGGGGAUCAAACAGGAUUAGAUACCCUUGUAGUC
rnacentral:rRNA from 1 species